UGAUCCUGGCUCAGGACGAACGCUGGCGGCGUGCUUAACACAUGCAAGUCGAACGGGGCAUAGAGAUAUGCCUAGUGGCGGACGGGUGAGUAACACGUGAGCAACCUAUCCUAUACAACGGGAUAACACAGAGAAAUUUGUGCUAAUACGGUAUAAGACCACACUCCGGCAUCGGAGAGGGGUAAAAGCUGAGGCGGUAUAGGAGGGGCUCGCGGCCCAUUAGCUAGUUGGAGAGGUAACGGCUCACCAAGGCGACGAUGGGUAGCCGAUCUGAGAGGAUGAACGGCCACAUUGGAACUGAGAAACGGUCCAAACUCCUACGGGAGGCAGCAGUGGGGAAUAUUGGGCAAUGGAGGCAACUCUGACCCAGCAACGCCGCGUGAAUGAAGAAGGUCUUCGGAUUGUAAAGUUCUUUAGCGAGGGACGAAAAGAAUGACGGUACCUCGAGAAUAAGCCACGACUAACUACGUGCCAGCAGUCGCGGUAAUACGUAGGUGGCGAGCGUUGUCCGGAAUGACUGGGCGUAAAGGGAGCGUAGGCGGCACAACAAGUUAGGAGUGAAAUACCGUGGCUUAACCACGGAACUGCUUUUAAAACUGUUGAGCUAGAGUGAUGGAGAGGAAAGCGGAAUUCCUAGUGUAGCGGUGGAAUGCGUAGAUAUUAGGAGGAACACCAGAGGCGAAGGCGGCUUUCUGGACAUUAACUGACGCUGAGGCUCGAAAGCGUGGGGAGCAAACAGGAUUAGAUACCCUGGUAGUCCACGCCGUAAACG
rnacentral:rRNA from 1 species